CUGCGGCCGUGAUAGUAGUGGUUACCCCGCAAGGAGCCGGCGGAACGAAGUGGAGCAGGCGACUGAGGAGUAGGAACGGAUAGCACGAAUUGUC
rnacentral:misc_RNA from 1 species